rnacentral:rRNA from 1 species
GUGGGGAAUAUUGGACAAUGGGCGCAAGCCUGAUCCAGCCAUGCCGCGUGUGUGAAGAAGGCCUUUUGGUUGUAAAGCACUUUAAGCGAGGAGGAGGCUACCGAGAUUAAUACUCUUGGAUAGUGGACGUUACUCGCAGAAUAAGCACCGGCUAACUCUGUGCCAGCAGCCGCGGUAAUACAGAGGGUGCAAGCGUUAAUCGGAAUUACUGGGCGUAAAGCGCGCGUAGGUGGUUUUGUAAGUUGGAGGUGAAAUCCCCGGGCUCAACCUGGGAACUGCCUCCAAAACUGCAUGACUAGAGUACGGUAGAGGGUAGUGGAAUUUCCUGUGUAGCGGUGAAAUGCGUAGAUAUAGGAAGGAACACCAGUGGCGAAGGCGACUACCUGGACUGAUACUGACACUGAGGUGCGAAAGCGUGGGGAGCAAACAGGAUUAGAUACCCGUGUAGUCC